rnacentral:rRNA from 1 species
AUACGUAGGGGGCGAGCGUUGUCCGGAAUGAUUGGGCGUAAAGGGCGCGUAGGCGGCGCGGUAAGUCUGGAGUGAAAGUCCUGCUUUUAAGGAGGGAAUUGCUUUGGAUACUGUCGGGCUUGAGUGCAGGAGAGGUGAGUGGAAUUCCAAGUGUAGCGGUGAAAUGCGUAGAGAUUGGGAGGAACACCAGUGGCGAAGGCGACUUACUGGACUGUAACUGACGCUGAGGCGCGAAAGUGUGGGGAGCAAACAGGAUUAGAUACCCUGGUAGUCCACACUGUAAACGAUGAAUGCUAGGUGUAGGGGGUAUCGACCCCUUCUGUGCCGCAGUUAACACAAUAAGCAUUCCGCCUGGGGAGUACGGCCGCAAGGUUGAAACUCAAAUGAAUUGACGGGG